rnacentral:rRNA from 1 species
AGUUUGAUUAUGGCUCAGGAUAAACGCUGGCGGGCAUGCCUAAUACAUGCAAGUCUAACGGGUGUGCUUGCACAUCCGUGGCGAACGGGUGAGUAAUAUGUAGGUAACCUACCCUUAAGACGAGGAUAACCAUUAGAAAUGAUGAACAAUACUGGAUAGUAUAUGGAACCGCAUGAUUCUAUAUUUAAAGGUGCGUUUGCACCACUUAAGGAGGGGCCUAUAUCGCAUUAGCUAGUUGGUAAGGUAACGGCCUACCAAGGCGACGAUGCGUAACUGUGCUGAGAGGCAAAACAGUCACAUUGGAACUGAUACACGGUCCAAACUCCUACGGGAGGCAGCAGUACGGAAUUUUCGGCAAUGGAGGAAACUCUGACCGAGCAAUGCCGCGUGAAUGAUGAAAAGAUCUUCGGAUUGUAAAAUUCUGUUAUUGGGGAAGAAUUACACUAUUAGGAAAUGAGUAGUGCUUGACAGUACCUGAUUAGAAAGCCCCGGCUAACUAUGUGCCAGCAGCCGC